rnacentral:rRNA from 1 species
AGUGAACGCUGGCGGUAGGCCUAACACAUGCAAGUCGAACGGCAGCACAGUAAGAGCUUGCUCUUACGGGUGGCGAGUGGCGGACGGGUGAGAAAUACAUCGGAAUCUACUUUUUCGUGGGGGAUAACGUAGGGAAACUUACGCUAAUACCGCAUACGACCUACGGGUGAAAGCAGGGGAUCUUCGGACCUUGCGCGAUUGAAUGAGCCGAUGUCGGAUUAGCUAGUUGGCGGGGUAAAGGCCCACCAAGGCGACGAUCCGUAGCUGGUCUGAGAGGAUGAUCAGCCACACUGGAACUGAGACACGGUCCAGACUCCUACGGGAGGCAGCAGUGGGGAAUAUUGGACAAUGGGCGCAAGCCUGAUCCAGCCAUACCGCGUGGGUGAAGAAGGCCUACGGGUUGUAAAGCCCUUUUGUUGGGAAAGAAAAGCAGCAGGUUAAUACCCCGCUGUUCUGACGGUACCCAAAGAAUAAGCACCGGCUAACUUCGUG